GACGGAGGAUGCAAGUGUUAUCCGGAAUCACUGGGCGUAAAGCGUCUGUAGGUGGUUUAAUAAGUCAACUGUUAAAUCUUGAGGCUCAACCUCAAAAUCGCAGUCGAAACUAUUAGGCUAGAGUAUAGUAGGGGUAAAGGGAAUUUCCAGUGGAGCGGUGAAAUGCGUAGAGAUUGGAAAGAACACCGAUGGCGAAGGCACUUUACUGGGCUAUUACUAACACUCAGAGACGAAAAGCUAGGGUAGCAAAUGGG
rnacentral:rRNA from 1 species